rnacentral:misc_RNA from 1 species
GUUUGAUGUUGCUUCUGAUCUCCUUGGCAAUCCUACUUAUCUUUCUUGUUACAAGCGAAGUAGGAGAGUAUAAGAUGAUGAAUACGAUAGCAAAUUAGAUGACAACGUAUGAUGUCUGAUAAUAGUAUUUCUUCUGUCUGUCUGAAAAUAAUCAUGAAAAUAUAUGCUGUGGUCAUGAAAAUAAUCAUUACUGAGCAAGUUUUGC